rnacentral:rRNA from 1 species
GGCUACAUAUUACCGAAGCUGUGGAUUGUCCUUUGGACAAUGGUAGGAGAGCGUUCUAAGGGCGUCGAAGCAUGAUCGCAAGGACAUGUGGAGCGCUUAGAAGUGAGAAUGCCGGUGUGAGUAGCGAAAGACGGGUGAGAAUCCCGUCCACCGAUUGACUAAGGUUUCCAGAGGAAGGCUCGUCCGCUCUGGGUUAGUCGGGUCCUAAGCUGAGGCCGACAGGCGUAGGCGAUGGAUAACAGGUUGAUAUUCCUGUACCACCUAGUAUCGUUUUAAUCGAUGGGGGGACGCAGUAGGAUAGGCGAAGCGUGCUGUUGGAGUGCACGUCCAAGCAGUAAGGCUGAGUGUUAGGCAAAUCCGGCACUCAUAAGGCUGAGCUGUGAUGGGGAGAGGAAAUUGUUUCCUCGAGUCGUUGAUUUCACACUGCCGAGAAAAGCCUCUAGAUAGAUAACAGGUGCCCGUACCGCAAACCGACACAGGUAGUCAAGAUGAGAAUUCUAAGGUGAGCGAGCGAACUCUCGUUAAGGAACUCGGCAAAAUGACCCCGUAACUUCGGGAGAAGGGGUGCUCUUUAGGGUUCACGCCCAGAAGAGCCGCAGUGAAUAGGCCCAAGCGACUGUUUAUCAAAAACACAGGUCUCUGCUAAACCGUAAGGUGAUGUAUAGGGGCUGACGCCUGCCCGGUGCUGGAAGGUUAAGAGGAGUGGUUAGCUUCUGCGAAGCUACGAAUCGAAGCCCCAGUAAACGGCGGCCGUAACUAUAACGGUCCUAAGGUAGCGAAAUUCCUUGUCGGGUAAGUUCCGACCCGCACGAAAGGCGUAACGAUUUGGGCACUGUCUCAACGAGAGACUCGGUGAAAUCAUAGUACCUGUGAAGAUGCAGGUUACCCGCGACAGGACGGAAAGACCCCGUGGAGCUUUACUGUAGCCUGAUAUUGAAAUUCGGCACAGCUUGUACAGGAUAGGUAGGAGCCUUUGAAACGUGAGCGCUAGCUUACGUGGAGGCGUUGGUGGGAUACUACCCUAGCUGUGUUGGCUUUCUAACCCGCACCACUUAUCGUGGUGGGAGACAGUGUCAGGCGGGCAGUUUGACUGGGGCGGUCGCCUCCUAAAAGGUAACGGAGGCGCUCAAAGGUUCCCUCAGAAUGGUUGGAAAUCAUUCAUAGAGUGUAAAGGCAUAAGGGAGCUUGACUGCGAGACCUACAAGUCGAGCAGGGUCGAAAGACGGACUUAGUGAUCCGGUGGUUCCGCAUGGAAGGGCCAUCGCUCAACGGAUAAAAGCUACCCCGGGGAUAACAGGCUAUCUCCC